rnacentral:sRNA from 1 species
GUCCAAAAAUAGCCCAACAUACAUUUUUGUAAACGACUAAAACAAUGUGGCUAUUGAUUAACACAUCGAUUAAAUCUUAUGUGCAUACGACCCCAAUCGAAUGGUAUAAUGAUGUAGCACUUUAGGAUCAAAACUAUUAGGAACAAUGCUUAAUUCACUAGCAAUGUAUAUAUGCCAUCAUUUAAUCUAAGCUAGAGAAUAUUGGUUUUGUUUUUUAUAAAAUUUAAGUAGAAGACUAACAAAAUUCAAAAACAAAGUGGGAAAUCUACUAAACAGUUUUAAGCAAUAGAUAAAAGAAUAAUUGCUCAGAAUGCCCCUACCUUUUUCAAUUCUACCCUUUCCUAUUUGCCAUUUUUAUUUUUAUACCCUCUUUAAAUUUUUAAUGACCAUUUUACCCCUAUUUGUAAAUUGUUUUAGGUUAACAAAAUGAAAUAUUAAUAUUUUUCACCUAAAUUAUUCCAAAAUAAAUUUUCCGCCAAAAAUUUUCGAAACUUUUUUUGGGAAAUUUGCAAGAAUAACUAACAAAAACUUAUAAAUUAAGAAAGUAACAUAAGACAAAAAAAAUAGCUAUACUCUCUAUAUUAUAUAUAAUAAUGGCAUAUUUACCCCUCUCUCUCCACCUCAUUCUAAGUCUCUCCUUCUCUCCUUUCUCUCUCAUCUCUUUUUCUUUUUUCUCUCGAUCUCUUCUCUUCUUUUUUUCUGUAUCACAUAACAAACAAACGAGAAAGACAAAGUAGAUUUUUCAGAUACCACUUAUGUUAUAUGGUUGCUUGGGUUACCAAGGUUGUAUUUUAGGGUAUAGUUUUUCUAUACAUCCAAAAUAAUAUAGUACAACAUUUUAAUUCUAUCCAAAAUAGUACAUAAUUUUACUUACAAACACUAUUUACUAUUUUAUAAAUUCAAAUCCGAUUUUAAAAAUUCAAACUAUUUUGUAUGUAGAAAA